GUGCCAGCAGCCGCGGUAAUACGUAGGCAGCAAGCGUUGUUCGGAGUUACUGGGCGUAAAGAGUGCGUAGGCGGUCCUUUAAGUUUGGUGUGAAAUCUCCCGGCUCAACUGGGAGGGUGCGCCGAAAACUGGAGGGCUUGAGUGUGGGAGAGGCAAGCGGAAUUCCUGGUGUAGCGGUGAAAUGCGUAGAUAUCAGGAGGAACACCUGUGGUGUAGACAGCUUGCUGGACCAUAACUGACGCUGAGGCACGAAAGCGUGGGUAGCAAACAGGAUUAGAUACCCUGGUAGUCCACGCCCUAAACGAUGCAUACUUGGUGUGAGCCAUUCAUUUGGUUCGUGCCGGAGCUAACGCGUUAAGUAUGCCGCCUGGGGAGUACGGUCGCAAGGCUGAA
rnacentral:rRNA from 1 species